rnacentral:rRNA from 1 species
GACGAACGCUGGCGGCGUGCUUAACACAUGCAAGUCGAGCGGUAAGGCCCUUCGGGGUACACGAGCGGCGAACGGGUGAGUAACACGUGGGUGACCUGCCUCUAGCUCUGGGAUAAGCCUGGGAAACUGGGUCUAAUACCGGAUAUGACUCCACGGCGCAUGUUGUGGGGUGGAAAGCCUUGUGUGGCUAGAGAUGGGCCCGCGGCCUAUCAGCUUGUUGGUGGGGUGAGGCCUACCAAGGCGACGACGGGUAGCCGGCCUGAGAGGGCGACCGGCCACACUGGGACUGAGACACGGCCAGACUCCUACGGGAGGCAGCAGUGGGGAAUCUUGCGCAAUGGGCGAAAGCCUGACGCAGCGACGCCGCGUGAGGGAUGACGGCCUUCGGU